rnacentral:rRNA from 1 species
CAGUCGCCGCGGUAAUACGUAGGGUGCGAGCGUUAAUCGGAAUUACUGGGCGUGAAGCGUGCGCAGGCGGUGAUGUAAGACAGUUGUGAAAUCCCCGGGCUCAACCUGGGAACUGCAUCUGUGACUGCAUCGCUGGAGUGCGGCAGAGGGGGAUGGAAUUCCGCGUGUAGCAGUGAAAUGCGUAGAUAUGCGGAGGAACACCGAUGGCGAAGGCAAUCCCCUGGGCCUGCACUGACGCUCAUGCACGAAAGCGUGGGGAGCAAACAGGAUUAGAUACCCGGGUAGUCCCUGUCUCUUAUAC